rnacentral:rRNA from 1 species
AUGGACUUGGACCCGCGCAUGGUGGAUUCACAAUCCACUGCCUUGAUCCACUUGGCUACAUCCGCCCCUUAUCCAUCUAAAGGAUUUUUUUUCCUUUUUCCUUUUUCCAUUGAUCAUUAUUCUAUUUAUUCUGACCACUGA